AUUGAACGCUGGCGGCAGGCCUAACACAUGCAAGUCGAGCGGAUGAAGGGAGCUUGCUCCUGGAUCCAGCGGCGGACGGGUGAGUAAUGCCUAGGAAUCUGCCUGGUAGUGGGGGAUAACGUCCGGAAACGGGCGCUAAUACCGCAUACGUCCUGAGGGAGACAGUGGGGGAUCUUCGGACCUCACGCUCUCAGAUGAGCCUAGGUCGGAUUAGCUAGUUGGUGGGGUAAAGGCCUACCAAGGCGACGAUCCGUACCUGGUCUGAGAGGAUGAUCAGUCACACUGGAACUGAGACACGGUCCAGACUCCUACGGGAGGCAGCAGUGGGGAAUAUUGGACAAUGGGCGAAAGCCUGAUCCAGCCAUGCCGCGUGUGUGAAGAAGGUCUUCGGAUUGUAAAGCACUUUAAGUUGGGAGGAAGGGCAGUAAGUUAAUACCUUGCUGUUUUGACGUUACCAACAGAAUAAGCACCGGCUAACUUCGUG
rnacentral:rRNA from 1 species